rnacentral:snRNA from 1 species
AUAUGUACCUGGCAGGGGAGAUACCAUGAUCACAAAGGUGGUUUUCCCAGGGCGAGGCUUAACCAUUUACUCCAGAUGUGCUGACCCCUGAGAUUUCCCCAAAUGUAGGAAACUUGACUGCAUAAUUUAUGGUUAGUGGGGGCCUGUGUUUGCACUCCCCCCCC